rnacentral:rRNA from 1 species
GACGAACCGUGCGAACGUUGUUCGGAUUCACUGGGCUUAAAGGGCGCGUAGGCGGCUUGCCAAGUCAGGGGUGAAAUCUUCCGGCUCAACCGGAAAAGUGCUUCUGAUACUGGCGGGCUGGAGGAGGGUAGGGGCAGAUGGAACUUCCGGUGGAGCGGUGAAAUGCGUAGAUAUCGGAAGGAACGCCGGUGGCGAAAGCGAUCUGCUGGACCCUUUCUGACGCUGAGGCGCGAAAGCGUGGGGAGCAAACAGG